AAACAUUUUGAGAUUUAUACAUUUUUGUUUUUGUCACUUUGUGGAACCUAUAAGUUAGAAAAUGUAAUAAAAAUAUUCAAGUUGGCCCAUGUUGUUGCACUUUAAGUUAGGUAACAGAUCAAUUCCAACUCACCAAAUGAUUAUUAUAUGAAAUAAAGAAAAAAUUAAAAAAAUGGACCAUAUGCUAAAAAACAUGAUCUUCGACAAAAGAUCCUCUUUUUCCAUUUUGUAGUGUUUAUGACGUGUAAAUAUGUAACUAGUUUAAUGUCUUUGUCAGUGUAUGCUCUUUUGUAUAUAUUUAACAUUUUUAAAAGAUUUGUAAACCAUAUAAUAUAUUAUUUAAUCAAAUAAUAGAUAUGCAUAUUAGAAAAUGUAACAGAAAUAGAUAUGUAUAUGUUUUUAAUAGUAGAACUUUGGCUACGGUCUGAUCUUAUCGAUCUAAAUGAAAAAAAAAAAAUUAAAAUAUAUUUGUAAUACGACUAAUUCAAAUAAUUAGUCAAAUUUAAAUAGGAAAAAAAUCACCAUAUUAAAGAAAUAUUAACUUAAUAAAUUUCUUAAUUGUAGACUACAUUGAACAACUAAAUAAAGUUGUAAUUAACUAUAAAAAUAAUUAAGAAGUUUUGAACAAUUUUCAAAAUUAAUUUUAUGGUAUCAUCUUUAAAGUCAAUCGAAUUAUCGAUUUCUAGAUUUUGAAAUUGUAUUUUAA
rnacentral:lncRNA from 1 species